AGCUCAGUGGUAGAGCACUUGCCUAACAUGCAUGAGGCCCUGAGUUCAAUCCCCAG
rnacentral:tRNA from 1 species